UACGUAGGUGGCAAGCGUUGUCCGGAAUUAUUGGGCGUAAAGCGCGCGCAGGCGGCCUUUUAAGUCUGAUGUGAAAGCCCACGGCUCAACCGUGGGAGGUCAUUGGAAACUGAAAGGCUUGAGUACAGAAGAGGAAAGCGGAAUUCCACGUGUAGCGGUGAAAUGCGUAGAGAUGUGGAGGAACACCAGUGGCGAAGGCGGCUUUCUGGUCUGUAACUGACGCUGAGGCGCGAAAGCGUGGGGAGCAAACAGG
rnacentral:rRNA from 1 species